GCGAAAAACUUAAAACUCCAAGGACUUGGCGGUGCCCCAAACCAACCAAGAGGAGCCUGUCCUAUAAUCGAUACUCCACGCUUAACCUCACCCCCUCUUGAAACACAGCGUAUAUACCGCCGUCGACAGCCUACCUCAUGAGAGAAAUCCAGUGAGCACAACAAUUAGCAACUAACACGUCAGGUCAAGGUGUAGCACACGGGGCGGCAGAGAUGGGCUACAUUUCCUCCCGUAGGAAACACGAACAGUGAAUUGAAACACCCACUCGAAGGUGGAUUUAGCAGUAAGACAAACAAGAAAUGUUGUCUCAAACCUGCUCUGGAGCACGC
rnacentral:rRNA from 1 species